CAUGGAUAAAUGCAGUUAUUUACUCUUGCAAUGGGUUCUAAGUCAAACCCUCAGCUAGGUCAGGGAGUAGUUAUGAACAGCCUACUUUUGCCCCAGGACCUUAAGAAGUCUUGCUCUGGGAUCGGCCGCCUACCGGAAAGUCGUGUUCUCAGUGCCCAGCGCGGUCUUAGAACAGCCUCUUCCCAAAUCUCAGCGGCGGCCCCGCCCCUUCCACAGGUUCAGGCCCCGCCCCUCCCUGCUAUUGGCUGUCCCUCCCAUUUGCUCGACCGCUCUCAGGACCCGGAGGAGCGGAGUUUUCUAAGGCAGCCUCCGAGCGCCCUCGCUGCGCAUGCUCGGGGGAGGCCGAUUCCGGGUCCGGAGUUGGAGGCUUUGGGCUGUCGCGGCGUCGCGCGCGGUGCCGGGGCCGGCGGGGAGGCGCGCGCUCGGGGCGCGGCGCCGGCGACGCUGCCACGCAGCGCGCUCCCGAGGAAGGGAGGUGUGGGGUCGCCUGGGGGUGGCGCGUGGCCGGGGUGGGGGUGGGGGGAGGGUCGGGUGUCGGCGAGCUCGGCGUGCGGGUUCCGAGUGUCUGAGGCGGCCUGGGCUGCCGGGGCCGACGCCUGGGUGGCUGCCGCCCGGCUGCCGGGAGCCGACAGCUUCGCGCCGGGUAAGGACUGCGCGGCGCGGGGCUGGGGGCGCAGGACUGGGGAGGCGGGCGGGGAGGGAGGGGGCGCGGGCCCCGAGCCUUGGCCGCGGUGCCCGGCACCCGGCGCCGUCCGCCUGCGGGCGGGACCCUCCAAGGGGCAGUGA
rnacentral:lncRNA from 13 species